rnacentral:rRNA from 1 species
UACGGAGGGGGGCUAGCGUUUGUUCGGAAUUACUGGGCGUAAAGCGCACGUAGGCGGCUUUGUAAGUUAGAGGUGAAAGCCCAGGGCUUAACCCUGGAAUUGCCUUUAAGACUGCAUCGCUAGAAUCGUGGAGAGGUGAGUGGAAUUCCGAGUGUAGAGGUGAAAUUCGUAGAUAUUCGGAAGAACACCAGUGGCGAAGGCGACUCACUGGACACGUAUUGACGCUGAGGUGCGAAAGCGUGGGGAGCAAACAGG